CCGACAUAGAGCCGAUUAUGCUGGUAGAGAUCGAGACAGGAGGCCGCCCAAGAGGGCCAGGUCCGCUGGGGAGCCUCAAGGCGGGCAACCUCAACAGUAUGUUAGACAGUCUUCUCAGCCAGGGCAGAGUGCGCCCCCGCAGUCUACCGGAGAGGGAUUUGAUAGUGCCAGAUACUUAGGAGCAGGCCAGAGCUCCAGGGUUCCAGGUUCACAGGUGAGCCGAGGUUCCAGCCAGGCGAGGCCACCUAUGCCUCGGUGUUCGUAUUGUGGGAGAUCUCAUCCAGGAGAGUGCUACCGAGCUACGGGAGCCUGUUUUUCUUGCGGCCGUCAGGGCCAUAUGAUGCGUGAUUGUCCAAUGGCAAGUGGUUCUGGUAGUACAGUUCAGCCGACGGGAUCAGCCGCGGGUUCAUCUUCUACUCCCUCAGCCAUGCGCCCUGCGGGACGAGGUAUGCCGGUACAGGCGGGUCGCGGUCGAGGCCGUGGCGGUGCUUCAGGUUCUAGCAGUCCUUCGAACCGCAUAUAUGCGUUGGCCAGCCGACAGGACCAGGAGGCGCCACCAGGUGUGUUUACAGGUGAUUUGAAUUUCUAAAUUCGUUACAUUGAUUGGUAAGAAAUUGAUAUAUGCUACUCAAAAGGAAACUAACCCGGAAUGUUGUGAGACCCUAUAAGACUAAUGUAACAUUCGAGGACGAAUGUUCUAAAGGGGGGGAGAAUGUUAUACCCCGUAUAUUUAUACGUCAAAUUAUUCGCAAGCAAGUCGAAUCAAGUUAAAGGCGGAAUUAUUUUCGGACACGAAAUAGAAAUCUUUAAUUUUUUUUAAUUUUAAUUAAAACAUAAAUUGUUUAUAAAUUUUAUUGGUAUAAAGAUAUUAUUGGAGAUUAGGGGUAAAUUAACUAUGAUUAGAUUAUUAAGUGGGAUUAAAAUUUAAUCACUUCAUUAAUUAAUUAAGCCUAAGGGGCCAUGUGGGCCCCACCCGAAUAAAAAAAAAAAGAAAAAAAAAGGGGGGAAUCAAAUCUGAAAAUUAAAGAAACAAGGUGCAAAAGUGAGUCCUCAAAAGAGGGAAUACGUGUAGCAAUAUGGGGAAUAAUAUAUAAAAUAAGGCAUAGUGCAAAUGACACUUUCCAACUCCACUUGUUGAAAAAUCAGCUUUCAAGAACUAAACAAACCAAGAAAAAGAAGAGUUGAAAGAGAAGGAGGUCACGGCUAGAGUGGAGAAAAAAAAAAAAUCAGUUUUGUGAUUUAAUAAAAUUCUAAGGAGAAGACAAGGAGAGGGAGGUGGAGAAGCAAGAAUAAGUAUAAGAAUUUAAGACACAAAUUGGAGCCAAGUAUUCAAGGUAAGAAUUGGUUAUUUCUUUUACAUUUAUAAUGAGUUUGGAUACAUUAUGAACAUGUAUAGAUGAUGAAUUGAAUGUAUAUAAUUUUUUUUGCAUGUCGGUAUUGGAUUGUUGUUGUUGAAGUUGAAGUGAGCCGUGAGUGAUAGGUUUAGAUGGAAUCAUGCUUAAUCUUCUUGUACAUGUAUUGGGAGUAAAUUGAAUGUGUUGUGGUGUGGAUAAAUGGAUAAAAAAAAAUCAUGAAGUUGUCGUAGUUGUGUUGAAGCCGUGUAGGGGGCUGUUUUGAGGCUAGUUGUGCGUUUGACGUAAAUUGUAUAUUUUAUGAAAAUCAUAUCGUUAUAUUGUGGAUUGUGAUACAAAACAUGACUUAAAAAUAAGGAAAGCAACGAGAGGGCUGCUCACAGUUUAGGGGACUGGUUUCGGCCAGCUUUGGGAAAAUUUUUGGAUUGUUGGAAAAAAAUUAUGUGAAUGGUUUAGAAGUCCUCUAAUGUUGUUAGUAUGGAUUUGGGUUAAUAAUCGAAUGUACGAACGAUAUUGUGGCUUGAAAGUAAGCCGUUGAAACGAAUAUUUGGAAAGUUGUUGAAAGAUGUAAAAGAGAGCUAUUAAUGUUGUUUUGCCUUUCGAAUUGAUUAUUGAUGUUGCUAGGUUGGUUAUUGUGGUUGUUGAUUUUGAGCGAGAUAAAUUCUCGGGAUGGCCUAUUUAUAGGGGAAGUGCUGCCGAAUUUUCUGUAGAAUUUAAUGAUUAGUUGGAAAGAAUGGCUCAAGUGUCCUUAACUAAUGUUUGGUAUUCGUUGGCGUAUUUGUAGACCUUGGGGAGCCCGAGGCGUAGAUUGGAAAUUUACUUUAGAUUGGCUAUUUUGGAAGUGCGUAAGAGGUACAGACGCACAGCCUGGUGAUCCACCUGUUUAGGACACCCUUUCUGCUAUUCGGAGUGCUCCUCUCUUUCCGGAGCUUAUACUUUUGGUAUAUAUAUUUUUAUUAGUGCAUUUGUAUAUAUUCGUUCAUGGGUACGGCGGGGGCCCUGUCCCGUCAUAUGAUUCUGUCGGUCUGUUUAGAGGUCUGUGGACAUGUUUGUGGGUUAGGGUCUUUCUGUAUGGAUGUAUGUACAUGUCGUUUGGGCGAUCCCAUACGCCGAGGCGGCCGGUCCGCAUAUGUUGUUUGGGCGAUCCUAUACGCCGAGGCGGCCGGUCCGCAUAUGUUUAUAUAUUGCUUGGUUAGCCCUG